rnacentral:rRNA from 1 species
GACGAACGCUGGCGGCGUGCUUAACACAUGCAAGUCGAACGGAAAGGCACUGCGUGCAGGGUACUCGAGGGGCGAAGGGGUGAGUAAGACGGGGGUGAACUGGCCUGCACUUCGGGGUAAGGGAGGGAGAAGGGGUCUAAUAGCGGAUAGGAGCCAUGAUGAGUGGGAGGGAGGGAAAGUUUUUUCGGUGUAGGAUGAGCUCGCGGCCUAUCAGCGGGUUGGUGGGGUAAUGGCCUACCAAGGCGGCGACGCGUAGCCGGCCUGAGAGGGUGGACGGCCACAUUGGGACUGAGAUACGGCCCAGACUCCUACGGGAGGCAGCAGUGGGGAAUCUUGCACAAUGGGCGCCAGCCUGAUGCAGCGACGCCGCGUGGGGGAUGACGGCCUUCGGGUUGUAAACUCCUUUCGCUAGGGACGCCCCUUUUUGUGACGGUACCUAGAUAAGAAGCACCGGCUAACUACGUG